ensembl:lncRNA
GUGGAACUCCUGGCAAUGAGGUUGUUGUAAAAGCUAAAAAUAGUGGGAGAAAAGUCCCUCUGUGAACACUAAACAACAAUAACCCACCUCCCUCUGCCUCAGAAAGCUCCAAAGCUGUAUGCCCUUUGCUAGAGGCUGGAGAUGCAUGAUGUGCUAUGUGCUUUUCUAACUCUUAUAUUCUUCUGUUGGCUGUUACAAAAACAGGAUAUUGGGCUGGUGGACUUUAGCCUUGAACUCUUGUGACCACUCAUAUGUGGGUAUUAUCCUAAAUUGGACAUAACUUAGUGAAGGCUGUGUUGCCAGCAGCGGAAGCCAGAUCUAAAGAAAGGAGACAAGUGCCUUGUUGUAUGGAUGUCAGAUUCCACUGGAAGUCAGCAAGUGAACCCCUGAUCUGAAUUCUCUACUUGAGAUGAAUAAUAGACUGAAUAUGGUAUGUGACGGCUCUGUAGAUGCUGGAGGUAUAACGCGAAUGAGUACAUUGUUCUGAAACGCUGCCAUAAGGGCCCUGUUGCAGAUUUGGAAGCAUCCUGACUACCAGACAGGUCAGAGCUGUUGGUGGAGUGGUAUAAGCCUCCCGUGGAUGAAACACACCCAGCCAAACGCAGUCCAAGUGUCCUUACCUGUGCAGCUCCUCUUGUAGCAAAGGUAGCAGUUGCAGCUACGAAAAUGGAGCCCCUCCCAGAGCUGAGCCCAGGCCUGGGGAGAACACAGAUCACCAGGACUUCUGCUGGCUGGGCUCUGCUGUGCACUCCUUUGGCCUUCCCUUCCACCAGGGAGCUGUAGCAUCCAGUGUCCUCACCUGUGCAAGACUCCUCCUAUGUGCUCUCCUAACACCCCUGCUCCCAGAACAGCCCCUGCUGCUGGUUUCUCCAGAAGAGCUGGGUUCACGCCCCAUCCAGGCCUCCUUAGGGGGUUGAAGCACUGCUGAGUUCCCCAACUCCUUCUAUACAGAUCUUCAGCUGAGGAUGGGAAGGAGUGCUGUGCCAUCUCCUGGGGCUCGCCUGGUGUGCACUCUUCGUGUUGAGCCUCUUCAGUGGAUCUACAAUUGCCAAGGCAGCCAUCUGGUGAGGUGAAAGGAGCCUGCCAGGACAAGAGCUGCAGCUCUGCCAUACAUCACAACAGAGGUUCAAGGCAAACUGGAUGCAAGCGGCCAAACUGAAUCCUUUAAAAUUAAUCUGUUGAAAGACCCGCAGUGAGAGGCUGACAGGGGCAGUAGUUAUGGUGAUGGCUGAAGUGUGGCUGAGGGUGCUGCAGUUGCUGCUCAUGCAGAGAGCAGAUAAAUCCCUCAGAUGUGCAGGUUGCCAAGAACUGACAUCUUUUGUAAACAGCAUCUCUCAGUUUUGCCCCAGGGAUGUCCAGCUUGGGCAAGACUUGGAAGAAAGCAGUGAGAAGAGAUGGGGAGAGAGGGAAAGGAAAGCAGCAGCAUAAAAUGUCCAUGAAACUGAAGGAGGCAGCUUCUACUAUGGAUGGGUUCCUACUGUGCAAACUGUCAGAGCUGCAGUGGGAGAGAAAACUUCCAAAGCUAGAGAUAAGGAUAAAGAGAUGUUGCAUCACUUCUUCCAUCCCAGGCUUCUUUGCUGGGCUUCUUGUGGUUUCAGAGGACAUGCUUGAGUGAGUAGGAAUUGCUGCCAGUCUGCACACAGCCUGCUCUCCACCUUGGCCUCUGAGCCAGGAGUGUUAGAGCAAUCUGCAGGAAGAUGGAGGUGAUGAAUGGCACAGCAAGCUCCAGCUGUGCAGAGAGGUGGAGGCAGAUUUUUGUUACUCAGGACCCUUUCUCCUGCCCCGGAGAUGAUGUUUAUAUGGGCAGGAUCCUUGGAAAAAGGGCUUGGCUUGCAUUUAGCUUGCAGUUCAUUGGUGUGGCAUGCUCAUGGAGGCCUCCACGAUCCCAGGAGAAGUAGGGAGUGGGCAUGGAGGUGGCAGCAGCCAGGGACCGACUUCCCACAGAGGAAUCCCUCUGGGGGUGCAGAGGUGCCCUAUGGUGUCACAUUCAGCACCCUUAGCUCAGGGCUGGCAGUGCCACUGUUUUUCUGUCGCUGUCUUGAACAGCAGCUGCUGCCCUUGAUUCCAAGGAGGAAGACAGUGAGAGACCCUCUCUGCCCCAGGAAACCUGGCAGACCUGCUUCCCCUUACCUCUGUCCUCCCUCCUCCUAAAAUGUUGGAAUUAAGUUCUAGUAUCUCAUAAAAUAUCACGCUCAUAUCAUAACUUCAGUGUGCAGAGAGCCCAUGCAGGGGCCGGGAUGCAUACAAAUUGCUGCUCUAAAUCUCCGGCUACAAUAAGGAAACGUCAGAUGGUGGCAGUUUACUUGAUAAAUACCUAAUAUAGCUUAAAUAAUUAUUUAAUGCAGACAAAUGGAAAAAGAGACCAUCUAUGUGCUGUGUUGUAAUAAACUACAGCUUGCGACUUGUCGAGUGGUGAGAGCAGCAGCUCCAGCAAAGGGCUCUACCAUGGCCAGGGCAGGAGGGCUCAGGCUGGGCACUGGCUUUGGGAGGGCCCUGCCAGGAGCUAACAGGUGUUGAGUGGCAGACUGAUGAGGGGUGAGAACCCUCAGGGAGCACAAUUAACGCAGCCUAGGUGGAGUGAUGGAGUGCUUCGUCCUGCCACUUUCCCCACACUGACUGUAGGGCUGAGUGUUGGCACUGUGGGGUGAGUGCAGCCCAAGCUGGGCGUGCUGCUGGGCAUGGAGCUGUGCUUCCAGUAGUGAUAUCCCAGUGGGGGGAGGAGGGGCUGUCCGUUCUGUGCUGUUCCUGUUGCUGGUUGGGCAGCUGCAUACCUGCACUGCUGUGUCACACCACAGCAUCACUGCAGGAGUAUGUGAGUGUGGCCAUGCAGGUGAGGCCACGCAGGCAUGCAUUUGUCCCAGCAUGUAGGCACUGAGGUUUGGUGGUGACCAUAGCCCAAAAGGAAGCAUCAAGGAGCAGUCUGAGACAAGUUGCUCUGUCAGCUUAGCAAGCUCCCAGGGCCAAGGGUGUUGCUCUGCCAGCAGGAAUGCCUGUUUUCUUCUGGAGCUGCUUUGCACCACAUAGCCAGGAGAAUGUUGUGGGUUUUGUGAGUGCCGCUCACGGUCUUUACCUCCUUUCAGCUCCAUGGUUGAUGACUGUUGAUGGGUUUUUGCUUUGCUUUAUAUGCUCAGUGGUAUUUCAGGAAGCACGCUGGUCUCCUCCCCGAGCUCUCCGGCAGAUUACAAGGACUGCACUUGACUGAGCUCCUGGUGUUCUGCUGUGUCUGCCGUACAGAAACAGAGCUGCGGCACACGCCUUUGCACGGCAGAGGAUAAACACAGCAGCAGAGAUGGAAGAUAAGUGGCAAUAAAAAGUACAGUGUGGAGUGUCUGCCCUUUAAAAUAUAUUAGGUGGCUUACAAAUAAAGUUGUGUAUUUUUAGGAUCUAUGUAGAAUUGUUUGGCCUGUAGACCUUGAGGAAUCUGACCUUGAUGGGAGAAAGUAAAGCUGUGGCCAGCCUUCACAAUGGUCUGGAAGCAGAUGAGGACGAGUAUUCUUGCUUAUUAUUUCAGCAACAGUGGUGUGUAAAAAUGCCAAGUGUUUGGUGAGGUGUGCAAGCAAGGCUCCUUCCUUUCUUCCCCAGCCAUCCUAGUGGAGCAGUGAGGAGGGGGGGGCCUGGGCUGCAGCUUACCCUCCUCCGUGUGCAC